rnacentral:lncRNA from 1 species
AGAAACACAGUUAUCCCACUUUUCUCCCCAAUUUAGCUUUAGCUGUUCGAAUUGCUGCUGAUGCAGCUUUGCAGAGUAGCCAGUACCAUCUACCCACCCGGAGAGAACAAGGCCAAUUGUGCUUUCUCAGGGCUCUGGUGGCUGAUGGCAAGCUGCAGGACCAGGAUUUAAAACAGGGAUCUCCUGAUCACAGUACCAGCACUUGGAGACCACAUCUCCCUCAUCUACUAUCUUGCCACAGACACUGUGAGUGAAGGAGGUCAGAGGUCAGGAGUCGAUCGGAGGGGCGGCGGCCAGUCGAUGGUCAUUCGAUGUGAGAGCCGUGGGUUCUGUCGGAUCCCGCAUGACCCGCGUCCCGUUCCGCUUCCCUGCGGAUUUAACAGAUUUACCGUCCCGCAGGCUGCCCUGACCAGGUCAACCACAGUGGAUCGAUGCUACACCACAGCGGAUUUAUGUAAACUUUUCUCUCAAGUUGCAUCACAGCGCACUCAGAGGAAAGCACAGAGACUCAGUUCCGAUACAUCAGCUCACAGACGCCUUGUGCUGAUCGACAUCACCCUUUGGAGUGAUGAGGGGAAAGAACGCCAUCUACCCAGCCAGAGAGAGCAAAGCCAAUCUCAGGGCUCCGGCAGCUGAUGGCAAGCUGCAUGAGCAGGGUUUGAACCAGAAGUUGUACCAUUUGCUAUUUGAACCAGUUGGUAUUUAGAUCCAAAUUAAUCAUAUAUCUUGUGGAGGGAAACCAAUACCAGAACAUUCUUACCCAAAAAUAUGCCUUGGUUAUUAAGCUCUGGUAAAGUUAAGAGCUUGUGAGGCUUGUGAGGCUCUUAAGUUAGCUCUUAGCUAAUAUCUUAUCUAAUAGAUUCACUUGAACCUGAAGCAGAUACUGAUUCACAGAAGUUUUGGAACCGGAUACUGACUGUUGUGAUUCUUUUUUAAAUGAAAAAUUGUAACCUUUAGGGUGUGUUAAAUGUUUG